rnacentral:rRNA from 1 species
AACGAACGCUGGCGGCAGGCUUAACACAUGCAAGUCGAGCGAAGACUUCGGUCUUAGCGGCGGACGGGUGAGUAACGCGUGGGAACGUGCCCUUCUCUACGGAACAGUCCUGGGAAACUGGGUUUAAUACCGUAUACGCCCUUUUGGGGAAAGAUUUAUCGGAGAAGGAUCGGCCCGCGUUGGAUUAGGUAGUUGGUGGGGUAAUGGCCUACCAAGCCGACGAUCCAUAGCUGGUUUGAGAGGAUGAUCAGCCACACUGGGACUGAGACACGGCCCAGACUCCUACGGGAGGCAGCAGUGGGGAAUAUUGGACAAUGGGCGAAACCCUGAUCCAGCCAUGCCGCGUGAGUGAUGAAGGCCUUAGGGUUGUAAAGCUCUUUUAGCAGGGAAGAUAAUGACGGUACCUGCAGAAAAAGCCCCGGCUAACUUCGUGCCAGCAGCCGCAGUAAUAC